rnacentral:tRNA from 2 species
GCAUCCAUGGCUGAAUGGUUAAAGCGCCCAACCUAUAAAAGGGGAAAAUUCGUAGGUUCGAUUCCUGCUGGAUGCA